AUUGAACGCUGGCGGAAUGCUUUACACAUGCAAGUCGAGCGGCAGCGCGGGGGCAACCCUGGCGGCGAGCGGCGAACGGGUGAGUAAUACAUCGGAACGUGUCCUUAAGUGGGGGGAUAGCUCGGCGAAAGCCGGAUUAAUACCGCAUAAGCUCUGAGGAGGAAAGCGGGGGCUCCGUAAGGACCUCGCGCUGUUGGAGCGGCCGAUGUCGGAUUAGCUAGUUGGUGGGGUAAAGGCCCACCAAGGCGACGAUCCGUAGCUGGUCUGAGAGGAUGAUCAGCCACACUGGAACUGAGACACGGUCCAGACUCCUACGGGAGGCAGCAGUGGGGAAUUUUGGACAAUGGGGGCGAACCCUGAUCCAGCCAUUCCGCGUGAGUG
rnacentral:rRNA from 1 species